rnacentral:lncRNA from 1 species
AGUGACUUGAUCUCGGCGCUGGCAGAUGGUGGAGCUAUCAGAGCUGCAGCUGCCUUGGCUGCACACAUCCCUCUCGAGGGAGCUUUCCAGUCAUUUAGCUCCACUGCGGACUCAGAGCCAAAAUUAACAGUCUCCGGUGGGCCCUCAAAGCUCACCACCCACCCAAACACUCUGGCUUGCUGUCAUUCAACAGAUAGCCAGUGGGGAGCGGGGCCCAGACUCACCCUCCCUGCCCACCACCCGCAAGAGGAAACAGCACCACCACCUCUUGUGCCACAGCUGGGCCGGUCCCAGGAAGAAGCCAGCUGGGACUUGGAGUGACAAGCCUUCCCUCUGAUGUGUGUGCAGGGGGUGCCUGGUACAGAGGGACAGCAACCACAGAGCACUGCAGACGCCAAGACAUGCCUGCCUUAAUCUGAGGGCCCCACACGAGCCGGCUCAGGCCUCCUCUUCCUUCGUACCUCCCUCGAAGCCUGGGAUUCUGGGCAGUGAGUGCUCCAGCAGCUGACUGACUCCCAUGGGUCUGAACACCACCAGCCAGACAAGGCUUUCAGCGCUAAAUGACAUACUUUGGGGGCAGCAGCUAUGAUGUCACCUUUAUAAACCCACAUGCUGGACUCGGAGCUGUCAUAUUGUCUACUAAAUCCCUCAGAAGGAGGAAGUCUGAAUCGAGAUGGAUUUCAAAUGUUCGUUUCCAGUCAAACGGACUUAAAACUGUGCAUGUGAGGAGGAGUUCAAGGAAGUCAGCCUUGUUCUCCUGGAGGAGAAGCCUCGGGGUUUCAUGCUAGUCGCCUUUCAGCAGGAGCCAGGCUGUCGUGGAGGGGAGAGCUGAGACUCCAUCCUGUUGCUCCAUGGGGUAAAAGCAGAGCCAGUUGUUAUCAACCCAAUGUGGACAGACUCCAGCUCAACAGAAGAAAAGCCAGGGACCUUGAGACCCUCUGAGCAUCCUGUAGCUGUAAGGGUAUAAGUGAAACGUUGCCCAACUUGUAGAGGAGAUUUAAACAUGGAAAGGGGAGAGAAGAAGGCAUUGGAGGGGAGAGAAAUGAGAGUGGACCAGAUGGCCUUCAAACUCUUUCUAGCCCUGAAGAAUCUGACCAUUACUAUAGAAAGAAAAUGGCGCAAAACAGCAAGAGACUUCAAAGCCCCUGAGAACAAUUGUCCUAAUGAUGGAAGUCUGGAGAGGACUCCAGAAGUCAUUUUCUACAAUCUCCCCAUCCCCAGGCAGCCUUGCCCCACUGUGCAUUUAUCACCAGCCCAGAGAUUUCCACUGGAGCUAGCUGGAAUUUCUACAAGGCAGCAGCCAGAGGUGGUGGUGGGCUCUGUGGCAGCAGGUGGAGAGGAAAGGCUCUUUCUGGGCUGAGCAUCAAGCUGGAAAAAACAUUGCUGAAGACCCCACCACCAGCCCUCAGGUCUAUUGCAGAUGCACCUCUCUGUGCUGGAGGGAGAGAGCUUGGCGAGGGAGCUCAGUUGGAAGCGGUGAAACAAGCAUCAUUCUAUUGUUGAGCUGCCUCGCCAGCUGCUGACAAGGGAGGCUUUGCAGACAGACUGAACCUAUGGAGAGAUGAAAGUCGCUCAGAUAUAGACACACACACUCCCAGAGUUUCCUGUGCUUAAGCUGUUUGGAAGCUCUUGUCAUACGCACCUCGAGCAAAGAGAAAGGAGGCGAGCGGGAAUGACUGCUGGAAGUUGAGCAUGUUUCCCCAACGCUGGCGCUGCUCUGUAAUUCUCCUCCUUCACUAAGGAAGCUUUCUUUCAAAAUAAUUGGGGAGUGGCAUGACUCACAAUCACAGUGCCUUCACUCCCCGAGGAACAAGAAGUUAAUGGGCUUGCUGUAGGGUGACUAGGGGAAUUUGCCCCUCGGUGGGGAUCUUCCCAGACCCCCCGGGGACUGCCGCGUGCUAGCUAAUGUGGGCCAGCACCAGUGUGAGGCCAGCCCUCUGAGCCUUGGAAGCAUCUGGUGAGCUUUGUGCUCUCUGUGCAAGUGGUUGGCAUCCUAUAGGCAUAACCGUAGGCUUUCAGAGUGGGCACAGGCCAAAUGUCCUCCCCAUGGUGGAGAUUAACCGGGCUGGGAUCCCAUUACAGGAGAGUCUGUGAUGCUAGUUAACUCAUGCUGGUUCAUCUGCUCAUCUUGGCUCUGCUGUCACCUUCUCAGCCCCCUCCCUGUCUCCCUUAAUUUGAUCAUCUUGGCCCCCUCCCCUGUCGGGGCUAGAGGCUGCCCCAGGUCCCCAUCCUCCCAGACUUACCUUCAUCUCUGCUGAUCACACAGCACACUCUGUGUCUUUUUAUUUUCCUGCCUCAUCCAGUAGGUUCUGAGAUCCUUGAGGGUCCUCUCCACACUUUGUUAAACCAAGAAUACAAAUUGCUCAAAAGCAGGGCAGGGCUGGGUCCAGGGUGAGCAAGGAAGGCAUCCAGGGUGCAAAAUUCAAGGAGAUACACACUCUCGGGCUUCCACAAGCCCAGGUGGGCCCCUGAGAAUGAAUGCCUCCUGAAAACACUGGAAAACACCAGGUUGGGCUCACUGGAGUCCUGGCCCUGGGGCACGGAAAAGGAAAGAAUAUUAAUUGUUAAAAACCAACCAUGUAGAGACACUACACUAUUUCACUGAUCCUCAAAGUAAUCCUGUAGAAUAGGUACUGACAGCUUCAUUUACACAUAAAGAAAAUGAAGCUCGGUACAGUUUUGCACCUUGACAAUAGUCCCAGAACUAAUAUCACAGACCCGGAACAAACCCCAAUCUUCCUAACGCGGAGGCGCAUCAGACUGCCUCCAGCAACCGUCCGCAGCUGCUGUCCCAUGUCAGAGAAGAGUGCCUCUGAACGGGUGUCCUCUGAGGGGACAAAGGGCUUGGCCUCCUGGACAUGAGGGUAGGUGGAGCUCUGCCCAAUGCCCCCAAAUCCUGACUCGGCAGGUGUGGCUGGGCCUGGGAAUAUCUGUGUUUGCCAAGGUCCCUAGGAGGCGCCCAUGCACCGUCUGGUGGUGGGGACGCUGCACUGCACCAACUUCCAUGUAGGGCCAGAAAGUCCUCCCUUAGGGCCACCCUAACUCACAGGCCUUUCACUGCAGCCCCUCCCCUCUCACCCAGGCCUCCGCGGAGUCCCCCUGCAGGAGCUUCCUGCCCGGGGCUGUGCCGGCUGCCAAGUUGUGCUGCUGCCGGUGCUCGGAUGGACCCCGGGGAGCAGCAGCCACUGCUCAGAGCAGUCUGUUUUGCCUGUUGCCGGAGGCUGGGGGGUGCAGGAGCAGCCCUGGAGGGGCUUGGCACUAUCAGUGGCGGAGGGGUCUGUGUAGACUCAGAGACAGAUGUGGCAGGCAAAGAUGGGGGACUUUGUCAGCAGCCCUACUAAGCCUAGAUAGUUCUGCGUCCCCAGGCCCCACCCCCCGGCUCCUGCCUUUACUCCUACACCCCCUUUCCACCAGCAUCACCACUGAGGGGGGCAGCCCAGCCGGCUUCGGCACCAGACAGGCAACGGCAGGAAGCACAGAGGAAACACCAAGGGAGAACAGGUACCCAGGGCAGCCGGAGUGGGCCUCGCACACCCCCACAAGCAGAGUCCCUGCAGCAGCAGAGCCGUCGGUGGCAUCAGGGCGGCCAGCUGUGCCCCAGGUUUCCAGAGUGGAGAGGAAGGGACCCCACACUCGGGAUGGGCUCCAGGGUGCUGCGAGCAGCGGGUGGCCCCGCUUGGAGCCAAUCUGCCUACCUGGAGCAACCUGCCUACCAAAGACCAGAGUCCCACCCAGGAAAUCAGGCCCCAGAGAGGAUGUACCCGCACCCUGCCAGCUGCUGCCACACUCAUCACCUCUCUCUUGUGACUUAAGUCUUCAGGCCGCAGUUCUCAGCGCCCUUCCUGCCCCACAGGCUGCCUCCAGCCCAAACUACACAGCUUCCAGAAAGCGUUCUCCUGCCCAGACCCCUGCCCCUUUGAACACAGGACAACCCCUCACCUGGCAUCCCCGGGCACCCAUGAUCUGGCCCAGAUCUCCUGGAGGGUUCACCACUGAUCCUCCAACACAGCCACAUCUUCCCAUCUCCCGCCUACCUCCCCUGCCUCUUGGUUCUGCUCUUCAUCUGCCCACAUCUGACAUAUCUUCAGGAUCCAUUUCAAAUCCUGCCUCUCCUCCUCUUCCUUCUCUUAUCCCCUAAACCUUUGGCCUCCUGGAGCCCUUUGCCUGUGGCAUUUGCAUCACUCCCCAUAUACCCCAGACUAAUCUAUGAAUUCCUUAAGGGCAGAGACAGAGCUGUCCUCAGCAUUGUGCUUCCCUACACACACCAGCCUCUGCCAUGCCCACAGCUCCUCCCACACACAUAAAGCCAUCAAGCCUCUUUCUUCAGAGGACCUCCACAGGCAGGAAGUCCUGCCUCAUAUCCAGCCCAAUUCCACCCUGCUCAGGGCUCAUUUUCAUUCCUCAGUGAAGAUGGAGAGCAGUGGAUUAUCUUCCCCUAAAUAAUAACCCUUCCUAGGCUUUCACACUAUUAUUAAAUCACCUUUAAGCCACCUUUCUUCUUCAGGCUAAAGAAUCCCAGUACUUUUCAUGUUCCUUCAGAACGUGACUCUCUGCCCUGUAAUUAGCUUGGCAAUACUUUUGAAUUCUCCCCAACUUCUCCACACCCAGAAAGAAGAAGUGCCUUGAGAGGGGACCAAAAGGAACUGUGUGGAGGGUCUACGAUGUUCCAGGGAUCACCCCUACUACAUUUAAUCCUUCUAGCUUGCUGCUCUUCACCCCAAUUUACAGAUGAGGAAACAGAGGCUCAAUAUGCUCAGCAGGGCUUCUCAACGUUAGCUGACAUGUUGGUUCAGAUGAUUCUUUGUUGAGCAGGCGCUGGCUAUGCCUUGUAGGACGUUUAGCAGCAUUCCUGACCUCUACCCACUUGAUGACAGCAGUAACUACCCCCCCCCCCACAACACACACACACAGUUGUGACUACUAAAUAUGUCUGCAGACAUUGCCAAAUGCCUUCUGAGUGUGAAAUCACCUCCAGCUGAAAACCACUGGGUUAAAGGAAUUUUGCAGAAAUCAAUCAACUUGUAAGUAACAGACACUAAAUUCAGAUCUGUCAGCUUCAAAUAAUUUUCUUACUUCUACCCCCAUACAACCUCCUAAGACAAAGUCUCAUCUGAGAAAGUAAUAGGAAAAUGUCACUAUGUUUUCCACUUUUAUCACUCCUUACCCCAACAUUUAAUCUUCUAUAUGUGUCACUGGGAUCAACUCAUAGAUGAUUCUGCUCCGAGUCUAACCCACACUCUCCAAGUUUACCCACACUCAAUUUGAAAGCAUUAGCUUGGGUGCACCGUAACCACAGGAACUUUCUUUUUUCCAAUCAAUUGCUCAGUAUCACUUAUUUCAGGCCUGCUGCAGAGAACUAGCAGAGAAAAUGGAGAACAGACCCUCCUCCUCCAAGAGCAAAAGGUCCAACUUGGGAGCCGGGGAUACACAUGAGGAGUUCUAACACUUACUGACAAAUGCACAGACCAUUCUUGCACAAUUCCCAGCAGGCUAUCAGAAAGCAGGAACACUGAGUCCACUGAGCAGUUGCUUAGACUAAAGAUGCCAAGCAGUCAGUGCAAGGAGUUAGCUAAGACCAGCCUGUGGCAAGGUGGAGAUGCUGCCAUCAACCGAAGCAGAUGAAUGUUGUGGACUGCACGUCGUGACGGGGACAUGUGUGCUGAUGGGAUGCAGGGUAAGGGAACCAGGUGUCCACUUGCUGCCGUUGCUAUUUCUGUGCUCCAGACCAGCCUGGGGAACUGAGCUCUGCUCUGAAGCAGGCUCCUACUCCCCUUCCACCUCCUAUUCCAGGUGUCAAGGGUGGGAAAAACAUACCAGGUUGGAACAUCUUGAACUUCCCACCGGUUGUUCCAGGCAUUCGUCCGAAGCCACGUCAGGCCUAAUGCAGUUCCUUCAUCUCUAUACACCUGCCAAAUCUGAUUUAUUCUUCAAUAUUUGCUUAAAUGCUGCUUCCCCCUUCUCUCCUUCAGUCCCCACCACCCACUCUCUACUCUGGCCAAAUCAGUCUGCUGAUCUUAUCCCAUCACAAUUUCCUAUUAACAUUCCUUUUUCUUAUUUAUUCUUUCAACAUAUGGCUUUUCAGACUCUACUCUGUACCAGGCACUCUUCUACAAAGCUGCUGUAACUGCUGCAUCCUCAGUACCUGGAAUAGUGCCUGGUGCAGAGUAGAGGGAGACACUGACAUUCUGGUCAUGAUUUCCAUCUGUGCUUUGGCCUCACACACUGCAUCUUAAACUUUAAAAACUCAGCCUUUGCUUCAGCCUUAGGUCAUACCUCACCUCUUCCAUGGAGCCCUCCUUCAACUCAAGCAGGGUCGGUCACUCCUCAUGCUGGACUUUACUGUGAGCCAUGCAGUUGAUGCGUAUCAAACAUGACAUUUUCUUCUCUUUCUGUGUCUGUCCUCUCUCCCAAUGUAAGAUCCCAGGAGGGUGAGGACUCGUCUGUUUCGCCUGUAUGGUUCUGAAGCACCCAGCAGAGUUUUGCCACAGAUAAAUAAUAACAGCAUGUUAGGAAAAAAUAACAACUAGCAUUCAUUGCAUGCUUAUAAAGGACCAACUACUGUUCAAGAUACUUAAUAAGUAUCAGCUCACUUGAUCCUGACAACAAGCCUAUGGGGUUGGUAGGAGCUCAUGCAGGAAGCACAAACACAGGUGGAGGUGGCUACAGUGGCAGUGGCGGUGGCAGCAGAACUGAUAAUACCAUGUGCCAGGAUGAGCAGAGCCGGUGGGUUACAGAACGUGGGCUUUGGAGGAAGACCUGGAUUGGAGGCCUGGCUCCAUCAUCUAUCAGCCGGGUGACCUUGGGCAAGUGACUUCUCUUCCCUUGGCUUCAUUUCCUUCACUAUAAAAUGAGGAUAAUUCCAGCACCCGCCUCACAGAGCACAGAGGUGUGUGACAACUCUAUGAGCUGUGCAGACCACGCACCUCCAGCACAGAGCCUGACAUUGGUCUCAACAGUCAGCAGAUGGGAGUGUUUGCUGUUGUUAUUGUUGUUGUUAUUAUUGUAUCCCCCUUCCAAGAAUCACCCACACCUGUUUUCUGUUCCAUCCUGCCUCAGCUUCCCAUCCCCCGAUUACCCUCCUUCCACAUCCUCAAUCAGGUAGAGGAAAAUCUGAGUGCAAUAUACUGAGAAGACACUCUUCAGUCACUACCUUAUUCCUCCUCUUCCAACAAAUGAGCCCUGAAACAAAUAGAUCCCAGAUGUCACGACUUAUGUAUAAAAACCCAGGACCUUGGGACCAGAGAGGGAAUGGAAGCUCUGCUUGGGUGCUGAGAGAGCACUGAGGACUCAAAGAUAUGCAAAUCCAAGGGGGCAGCUCAGGAAGCCGGGCUACAUGUGAGAUUGUUAUCAUCUCUUUUCUGCUACUGCAGCGAUGAUGAUCGGCUGAGCUCUUUCAUUAGAAAUCUGAUGCUGCUGUUGAAAAAAAAAAAGAGAGAGAGAGAGAAAUACACAGCAGCCUCAAAAUGUGGGCACAAAGCGGUCUCCUGGGGAAAGCAGCUUUAUUUGUGUCGGCUACGAGUACUAAGGUCCUGUUCAUCCGCUGUUUAUUUGUGCUGUUUUGUUCCCCAGCACAUGACCUUUAUUCCAUCCACGUUUUGCAGGGUACCAGGAGUGCUAAACUCUUUGCAUUUCUCCUGCAUUUACAGCAGUUGGGAUCUAUGGCAGCCUCCUUCUUCCUGGCUUUCAUCUCUGCAUCCCUCCAUUUCUGCCUGCAGCAGUGAAGCAUCAAUUAUACACUCCAAUUAUGUGAUUACACAUAUUUUCACUAAUUAAUAAUUCUUGCCACUCAUCCUGCCAACUCCCAUUGGAGGGCUUCAGAGGGCACUGGAGAGGAUAACUCACAGCUCUGCCACCUGGGAGGGAAUGAGCAAGGCCUGAAGAAUUCCUGAUAUGAAAGGGAAACUGAGGCACCACAAGGUACUUCCUUGUGACAGAGGCAACCACUGAAUCCAAGACUUGCCUUUGUCUUGAUAGGGGAUUUGCUUGAGCAAAUAGAUCCAUUUGAUGUUGCUGCUGCCUGAAGAGGUGGCAGGAAGAAGAAAGUAGUUUAGCCCAGGGGUAGCACUUUGUAGGUGUUAAAUUGGCUAUCAUUAAGGCUCAAAUUUCUUCUUACUUAUAGAAAUCUGGAUUUUGGGGGUUACAUACCAUAGUGUGUCCUCCCCUCUUGAGACUCAGUAGCAUGCUGUGAAGAAAAGUUACUCUGUGAUUUGGAUAAAAACAUAGCUCUGUUCCCCAGAGUCAUACAGGAAUGAGAAGGCUGAGGCCUGGGAGGUGACCCAGUCCAGCCUACUCCAUUUUCAGAGACAGAGGCUUGAAACCCA